GAGAAAAGAAUGAGAUGGGAAGAGGAUAGAGAUUUAGAGAAAGAGAAAAUAUUAUUGAUUGAAUUCUUGAAUGCCUCUGUACAGGUAUUAGUCCACACUAUAUAUUCUCAGCAAUAACUCCUCCCUAACAAUUUUCAGACAACUAAAACCACUUCCAGCAGAUCUGAGUUGUUUCUAGAAUUUCCCUCCAAAAAGCAGUUACGCUAAUUUCCCUCCAAAAAGUUCUCAACUACCUAAAACAAUAACAACUCAACUUACAAUUACUUCUUAACAUUCUUCCUUCUUUUUCUAUAGUAUGUGACGCAGUACUGCAAAGAGCAAUAAAUGUUGUGUUUGUGCCCUUG
rnacentral:misc_RNA from 1 species